CAGCAGCCGCGGGAACACGUAGGGUGCAAGCGUUAAUCGGAAUUACUGGGCGUAAAGCGUGCGCAGGCGGUUUUGUAAGACAGAGGUGAAAUCCCCGGGCUCAACCUGGGAACUGCCUUUGUGACUGCAAGGCUAGAGUACGGCAGAGGGGGAUGGAAUUCCGCGUGUAGCAGUGAAAUGCGUAGAUAUGCGGAGGAACACCGAUGGCGAAGGCAAUCCCCUGGGCCUGUACUGACGCUCAUGCACGAAAGCGUGGUGAGCAAACAGGAUUAGAUACCCCUGUGUCCCUGUCUCUUCUACA
rnacentral:rRNA from 1 species